rnacentral:piRNA from 1 species
UAAAUAGCUUUACAUCUUACUACAGAUCAGC